rnacentral:rRNA from 1 species
UACAGAGGUCUCAAGCGUUGUUCGGAUUCAUUGGGCGUAAAGGGUGCGUAGGCGGCGCGGUAAGUCGGGUGUGAAAUCUCGGAGCUUAACUCCGAAACUGCAUUCGAUACUGCCGUGCUUGAGGACUGGAGAGGAGACUGGAAUUUACGGUGUAGCGGUGAAAUGCGUAGAUAUCGUAAGGAACACCAGUGGCGAAGGCGGCGAUCUGGGCAGAUACUGACGCUGAGGCACGAAGGCCAGGGGAGCAAACGGG